UGGGGAAUUUUGGACAAUGGGGGCAACCCUGAUCCAGCCAUUCCGCGUGAGUGAAGAAGGCCUUCGGGUUGUAAAGCUCUUUCAGCUGGAGCGAAACGGUACGCUCUAACAUAGCGUGCUAAUGACGGUACCAGCAGAAGAAGCACCGGCUAACUACGUGCCAGCAGCCGCGGUAAUACGUAGGGUGCGAGCGUUAAUCGGAAUUACUGGGCGUAAAGCGUGCGCAGGCGGAUUGUUAAGCAAGACGUGAAUUCCCCGGGCUUAACCUGGGAAUGGCGUUUUGAACUGGCAGUCUAGAGUGCGUCAGAGGGGGGUGGAAUUCCACGUGUAGCAGUGAAAUGCGUAGAGAUGUGGAGGAACACCGAUGGCGAAGGCAGCCCCCUGGGAUGACACUGACGCUCAUGUACGAAAGCGUGGGUAGCAAACAGGAUUAGAGACCCGUGUAG
rnacentral:rRNA from 1 species